AUGAAAACCAAUCUCAAAGGAACAAAGAAAACAAUAAUAAAGCCCCAUUCAGCACUGAGCCGAGUCAUCUGGAAUUGGGUUGGGUUCCUUUUGGGUGGGCGGGUCUCUCAAAUGUUGUCUCUCCGUCUCUUUUCGGACUCCCUAACUCCACUGGAAACCGAGGAAAAGUGGGGAUUCUCUGCACACAGGACAGAUACCGGAAGGAUCGUAGCACCAAGUGUAGGUGUGACAAUAGCCUACCUUCCAGAGCCUGCCCUGGAGAGUAGUUGCCUCUUCACCUGGUAACAGCUCCGAAGGAACUAGAGCAUGGCACAGUCCUCACAGGAUCAGCCUUUGGCAUUAGAAACCCACUUUCUUUUUUUUCUUUUCUUUUCUUUUCUUUUUCUUUUCUUUUCUUUUUCCUUUCCUUUCCUUUCUUUUCUCUUUUCCUUUCCUUUCCCUCUUUUUCCCUUUCCUUUUCUUCUCAUUUUGAGAGGAGAGAGGGAGAGAGAGAGAGCACACACGUGUGAACCAGGGAGAGGGGCAGAGGGAGAGAGAGGAUCUUAAGCAGGCUCCACACUCAGCAUGGAGCCCAAUGGGGCUCAAUCCCAUGACCCUGGGAUUGUGACCUGAGCCCAAAAUCAAGAGUUGGACGCUCAACCGAUUGGGACACUCAGGCGGACUGAAAUCCACUUUCAAAUCUCCAGGCCAUGCCAUCAUUUAAAGAGUAAGGCUUGAAGAAGACAAAUCAAGGAGAAAAGAGAAGAACCAGGAAGGUCUGGGAUCCAGAAAGCCAAGAACAGUGAUUGGCUCUGUGUAAAGUGAAUAGGUAAGACAGGUAGGUGGACAGGGUCAUGAAGGAAUGGGCUUUUUCCAGGAGUUUAGCUGUGAGGGAGCUGGACAGUGGCAGACUGGCAAGGGAGAGAGAUUUUUUUAUUUUAAGAAGGGAGAAACAUGACCACGUUUAUAGGCUGCUGGGAAGGGUUCAGAAGAGGGGAGAAGAAAAAAAAAGGAGAGAAUAAAAGGCCAAAAGAAAUUGGAUCCA
rnacentral:lncRNA from 1 species